UGGCUUUUAUUCACCAGAGUGUGAAUUUACACAAUUAGCAAUAUUUUACAUUAUAUCGGAAUUAAAACAAUAACCAGCUAUGGGUUUGGUUUCACAACUGGGUCCUAGAUUUUGAGAUCCAAUAUCCAACAGCAAGGAAAAAGUUUAUCUGAAUCGAUUAGCAGGAAAAGCAUCAGAUCAUUACCGGACUAAAACUACCACAUGCUGUCAAAACGUGGGUAAAAUUGUGGAAAGAAAAGCCCCAAUAAAAAUAUUUGCUAAACGCAAAUGGGUUGGCAUCACUUGUAUUCUCAGAUAAACUGCAUAUCCAAUGGUCACUUCUAUUUUAUUUAAAAAGUAAACAAACAAACAAAAAAAAGUAUAGCCAGCUGGUUAUUUACUUCUAAACUUUUUGUUUAGUAUCCAAGCGGUCUCUGAAUCAGUUAACCAAGAUAGAUUCAAGAGAAUAUUUGGUGAUUUCAAUAAAAAAAACUUCAGCA